rnacentral:other from 1 species
GUUCCACUGCGACGUUGGUGACUGCCAAUAUCGUUUUUUGAUCUACAGCCUUUGGCACAUGGGAACCUCUCAGUUCUAGCUGCAGUAGACCGGGCAUGUACCCGGAAACUUUAAGCAGGAACAAAGGUGCCCACCUGGUUUAAUCCAGGUCAUAAACUGAGGUAAGACGGCGUUGCGGUGAACCU